rnacentral:tRNA from 4 species
AAGUUUAGGUUAAACAAACCAGAGGCCUUCAAAACCCCAAAUAAGAGUCAACUAGCCCUCUUAACUUCU